rnacentral:rRNA from 1 species
UACGAAGGGGGCUAGCAUUGCUCGGAAUCACUGGGCGUAAAGGGCGCGUAGGCGGCCAUUCAAGUCGGAGGUGAAAGCCCAGGGCUCAACCCUGGAAUUGCCUUCGAUACUGUCUGGCUAGAGACCGGAAGAGGUAAGUGGAACUGCGAGUGUAGAGGUGAAAUUCGUAGAUAUUCGCAAGAACACCAGUGGCGAAGGCGGCUUACUGGUCCGGUUCUGACGCUGAGGCGCGAAAGCGUGGGGAGCAAACAGG